GAAGACUGGGAUAACUUCGGGAAACCGGAGCUAAUACCGGAUAGUGGCUUGAGCCGCAUGGUCCAAGGAUGAAAGAAGGUUUCGGCUGUCACUUACAGAUGGACCCGCGGCGCAUUAACUAGUUGGUGGGGUAAUGGCUCACCAAGGCGACGAUGCGUAACCGACCUGAGAGGGUGAUCGGCCACACUGGGACUGAGACACGGCCCAGACUCCUACGGGAGGCAGCAGUAGGGAAUCUUCCGCAAUGGACGAAAGUCUGACGGAGCAACGCCGCGUGAGUGAUGAAGGUUUUCGGAUCGUAAAACUCUGUUGUUAGGGAAGAACAAGUGCCAGAGUAACUGCCCGCACCUUGACGGUACCUAACCAGAAAGCCACGGCUAACUACGUGCCAGCAGCCGCG
rnacentral:rRNA from 2 species